rnacentral:rRNA from 1 species
AUUGAACGCUGGCGGCGUGCUUAACACAUGCAAGUCGAUCGGUAACGCGGGGGCAACCCUGGCGACGAGAGGCGGACGGGUGAGGAACGCUUGGGAAUCUGCCUAUCAGCGGGGGACAACACGGGGAAACUCGUGCUAAUACCGCAUACGCUCUACGGAGGAAAGCCGGGGACCGCAAGGCCUGGCACUGAUAGAUGAGCCCAAGCCGGAUUAGCUAGUUGGCGGGGUAACGGCCCACCAAGGCGACGAUCCGUAGCUGGUCUGAGAGGACGAUCAGCCAAACUGGGACUGAGACACGGCCCAGACUCCUACGGGAGGCAGCAGUGGGGAAUAUUGGACAAUGGGGGAAACCCUGAUCCAGCGACGCCGCGUGGGUGAAGAAGGCCUGCGGGUUGUAAAGCCCUUUCGGUAGGGACGAAAGCUCUCGACCUAACACGUCGGGAGGUUGACUUAACCUACAGAAGAAGCACCGGCUAACUCUGUGCCAGCCGCCGCCGUAACAC